rnacentral:rRNA from 1 species
AGUGAACGCUGGCGGUAGGCCUAACACAUGCAAGUCGAACGGCAGCACAGUAAGAGCUUGCUCUUACGGGUGGCGAGUGGCGGACGGGUGAGGAAUACAUCGGAAUCUACUUUUUCGUGGGGGAUAACGUAGGGAAACUUACGCUAAUACCGCAUACGACCUACGGGUGAAAGUAGGGGAUCUUCGGACCUUGCGCGAUUGAAUGAGCCGAUGUCGGAUUAGCUAGUUGGCGGGGUAAAGGCCCACCAAGGCGACGAUCCGUAGCUGGUCUGAGAGGAUGAUCAGCCACACUGGAACUGGGACACGGUCCAGACUCCUACGGGAGGCAGCAGUGGGGAAUAUUGGACAAUGGGCGCAAGCCUGAUCCAGCCGUACCGCGUGGGUGAAGAAGGCCUUCGGGUUGUAAAGCCCUUUUGUUGGGAAAGAAAAGCAGCAGGUUAAUACCCCGCUGCUCUGACGGUACCCAAAGAAUAAGCACCGGCUAACUUCGUG